UACAGAGGUCCCAAGCGUUGUUCGGAUUCACUGGGCGUAAAGGGUGCGUAGGUGGUGAGGUAAGUCGGAUGUGAAAGCUCGGAGCUCAACUCCGAAAUGGCAUUGGAAACUACCUUGCUCGAGGGUUGGAGGGGGACUGGAAUGCUUGGUGUAGCAGUGAAAUGCGUAGAUAUCAAGCGGAACACCAGUGGCGAAGGCGAGUCCCUGGACAACUCCUGACACUGAGGCACGAAGCUAGGGGAGCAAACAGG
rnacentral:rRNA from 1 species